GCCUACGGGGCGCAGCAGUGGGGAAUAUUGCACAAUGGGCGAAAGCCUGAUGCAGCGACGCCGCGUGAAGGAUGAAGUAUUUCGGUAUGUAAACUUCUAUCAGCAGGGAAGAAAAUGACGGUACCUGACUAAGAAGCCCCGGCUAACUACGUGCCAGCAGCCGCGGUAAUACGUAGGGGGCAAGCGUUAUCCGGAUUUACUGGGUGUAAAGGGAGCGUAGACGGCGAUGCAAGCCAGAUGUGAAAGCCCGGGGCUCAACCCCGGGACUGCAUUUGGAACUGUG
rnacentral:rRNA from 1 species